rnacentral:ncRNA from 1 species
UAGCCAAUAUUUUAGUCCAAGAACAACCUCAAGCUGGCCUUAGAGCCUACUUUUAGUUGCUGGAAUACAGCAGUUUUUGUAGUUAAGAAAAAAAUCUGGCAAAUGGAGACUAUUACAAAAUCUUAGAGCAAUUAAUCACAUUAUAGAACCCAUGGGAGCUUUACAGCCUGGGCUUCCUUCUCCUACAGCCAUCCCUUUUGAUUAUCUUUCAAUGGUAAUAGGUUUAAGAUUGUUUUUUCACUACCCCACUGCAUCCAGAUGAUUGUCAGAGAUUUGUUUUUAC